ACGUAGGGUGCGAGCGUUAAUCGGAAUUACUGGGCGUAAAGCGUGCGCAGGCGGUUUUGUAAGACCGAUGUGAAAUCCCCUGGCUCAACCUGGGAAAUGCAUUGGUGACUGCAAGGCUGGGGUGCGGCAGAGGGGGAUGGAAUUCCGCGUGUAGCAGUGAAAUGCGUAGAUAUGCGGAGGAACACCGAUGGCGAAGGCAAUCCCCGGGGCCUGAUCUGACGCUCAUGCACGAAAGCGUGGGGAGCAAACAG
rnacentral:rRNA from 1 species